UACAGAGGGGGCAAGCGUUGUUCGGAAUUACUGGGCGUAAAGGGCUCGUAGGCGGCCAACUAAGUCGGAUGUGAAAUCCCCAGGCUUAACCUGGGAACUGCAUCCGAUACUGGAUGGCUUGAAUCCGGGAGAGGGAUGCAGAAUUCCAGGUGUAGCGGUGAAAUGCGUAGAUAUCUGGAGGAAUACCGGUGGCGAAGGCGGCAUCCUGGACCGGCAUCGACGCUGAGGAGCGAAAGCUAGGGGAGCAAACGGG
rnacentral:rRNA from 1 species